AUUGAACGCUGGCGGCAUGCUUACACAUGCAAGUCGAACGGCAGCACGGGCUUCGGCCCGGUGGCGAGUGGCGAACGGGUGAGUAAUGCAUCGGAACGUGCCCAUUUGUGGGGGAUAACUACGCGAAAGCGUGGCUAAUACCGCAUACGCCCUGAGGGGGAAAGCGGGGGAUUCUUCGGAACCUCGCGCAAUUGGAGCGGCCGAUGUCAGAUUAGCUUGUUGGUGAGGUAAAGGCUCACCAAGGCGACGAUCUGUAGCGGGUCUGAGAGGAUGAUCCGCCACACUGGGACUGAGACACGGCCCAGACUCCGACGGGAGGCAGCAGUGGGGAAUUUUGGACAAUGGGGGCAACCCUGAUCCAGCCAUGCCGCGUGAGUGAAGAAGGCCUUCGGGUUGUAAAGCUCUUUCAGCCGGGAAGAAAACGCACUCUCUAACAUAGGGUGUGGAUGACGGUACCGGAAGAAGAAGCACCGGCUAACUACGUGCCAGCAGCCGCCGUAACAC
rnacentral:rRNA from 1 species